AUUGAACGCUGGCGGCAUGCCUAACACAUGCAAGUCGAACGGCAGCACGAUGAGUAGCAAUACUUAUGGGUGGCGAGUGGCGGACGGGUGAGUAAAGCAUAGGAAUCUGCCUUAUAGACUGGGACAACUUGGGGAAACUUGAGCUAAUACCGGAUAAUCUCUACGGAGGAAAGGAUGGGACUGGAGACAGCCAUUCGUUAUAAGAUGAGCCUAUGUCGGAUUAGCUAGUUGGUGGGGUAAAGGCCUACCAAGGCGAUGAUCUGUAGCUGGUCUGAGAGGAUGGACAGCCACGCUGGGACUGAGGCACGGCCCAGACUCCUACGGGAGGCAGCAGUGGGGAAUAUUGGACAAUGGGGGGAACCCUGACGCAGCGAUGCCGCGUGUGCGAAGAAGGCCUGCGGGUUGUAAAGCACUUUGGUUGGGGAAGAAGGUUGGUUGUUGAAUAGACAAUUGAAUUGACGUUACCCAAAGAACAAGCACCGGCUAACUCUGUGCCAGCAGCCGCAGUAAUAC
rnacentral:rRNA from 1 species